rnacentral:rRNA from 1 species
AUGAACGCUAGCUACAGGCUUAACACAUGCAAGUCGAGGGGCAGCAUGAACUUAGCUUGCUAAGUUUGAUGGCGACCGGCGCACGGGUGAGUAACACGUAUCCAACCUGCCGAUGACUCGGGGAUAGCCUUUCGAAAGAAAGAUUAAUACUCGAUGGCAUAGUUCUUCCGCAUGGUAGAGCUAUUAAAGAAUUUCGGUCAUCGAUGGGGAUGCGUUCCAUUAGGUUGUUGGCGGGGUAACGGCCCACCAAGCCUUCGAUGGAUAGGGGUUCUGAGAGGAAGGUCCCCCACAUUGGAACUGAGACACGGUCCAAACUCCUACGGGAGGCAGCAGUGAGGAAUAUUGGUCAAUGGACGAGAGUCUGAACCAGCCAAGUAGCGUGAAGGAUGACUGCCCUAUGGGUUGUAAACUUCUUUUAUACGGGAAUAAAGUGAGGCACGUGUGCCUUUUUGUAUGUACCGUAUGAAUAAGGAUCGGCUAACUCCGUGCCAGCAGCCGCGGUAAUACGGAGGAUCCGAGCGUUAUCCGGAUUUAUUGGGUUUAAAGGGAGCGUAGGCGGACGCUUAAGUCAGUUGUGAAAGUUUGCGGCUCAACCGUAAAAUUGCAGUUGAUACUGGGUGUCUUGAGUACAGUAGAGGCAGGCGGAAUUCGUGGUGUAGCGGUGAAAUGCUUAGAUAUCACGAAGAACUCCGAUUGCGAAGGCAGCCUGCUGGACUGUAACUGACGCUGAUGCUCGAAAGUGUGGGUAUCAAACAGGAUUAGAUACCCUGGUAGUCCACACAGUAAACGAUGAAUACUCGCUGUUUGCGAUAUACAGUAAGCGGCCAAGCGAAAGCGUUAAGUAUUCCACCUGGGGAGUACGCCGGCAACGGUGAAACUCAAAGGAAUUGACGGGGGCCCGCACAAGCAGUGGAGUAUGUGGUUUAAUUCGACGCAACGCGAAGAACCUUACCAAGUCUUGACAUCCUGCGACGCACAUAGAAAUAUGUGUUUCCUUCGGGACGCAGAGACAGGUGGUGCAUGGUUGUCGUCAGCUCGUGUCGUGAGAUGUUGGGUUAAGUCCCGCAACGAGCGCAACCCCUGUUUCUAGUUGCCAGCACGUAAAGGUGGGAACUCUAGAGAGACUGCCGGUGAUAAAUCGGAGGAAGGUGGGGACGACGUCAAAUCAUCAUGCCCUUUAUGUCCUGGGCUACACACGUACUACAAUGGCUGUAACAGAGAGAAGCAACACCGCGAGGUAGAGCGAAACUCCAAAAGCAGUCUCAGUUCGGAUUGAAGGCUGAAAUUCGCCUUCAUGAAGCCGGAAUUGCUAGUAAUGGCAGGUCAGCAUACUGCCGUGAAUACGUUCCCGGGCCUUGUACACACCGCCCGUCACACCAUGAGAGUCGGGAAUACCCGAAGCCUGUGAGCCAACAUAUUUAUAUGAGGCAGCAGUCGAAGGUAGAAUCGAUGAUUGGGGUG